UGCAUAUCAAAAAAGCGGAGGAAAAGAAACCAACAGGGAUUGCCCUAGUAACGGCGAGUGAAGCGGCAACAGCUCAAAUUUGAAAGCUAGCCUUCGGGUUCGCAUUGUAAUUUGUAGAGGAUGAUUUGGGGAAGCCGCCUGUCUAAGUUCCUUGGAACAGGACGUCAUAGAGGGUGAGAAUCCCGUAUGUGACAGGAAAUGGCACCCUAUGUAAAUCUCCUUCGACGAGUCGAGUUGUUUGGGAAUGCAGCUCUAAAUGGGAGGUAAAUUUCUUCUAAAGCUAAAUAUUGGCGAGAGACCGAUAGCGCACAAGUAGAGUGAUCGAAAGAUGAAAAGCACUUUGGAAAGAGAGUUAAAAAGCACGUGAAAUUGUUGAAAGGGAAGCGCUUGCAAUCAGACUUGUUUAAACUGUUCGGCCGGUCUUCUGACCGGUUUACUCAGUUUGGACAGGCCAGCAUCAGUUUCGGCGGCCGGAUAAAGGCUCUGGGAAUGUGGCCUCCACUUCGGUGGAGGUGUUAUAGCCCAGGGUGUAAUACGGCCAGCCGGGACUGAGGUCCGCGCUCGGCUAGGAUGCUGCCUAAAAGUCCGGUGGGU
rnacentral:rRNA from 1 species